AGCCCUUUGUCGCUAAGAUUC
rnacentral:snRNA from 1 species